UCUCCCUCUCCUCCCCGCAGAGCUCCUUGUCUCUUCUUCUUCGUUGCCCAGUCUCCUCUCUGACUUGAACGUCGGAGGGUCCCCGCCGGAGCUGCCUCCGGUCAGCGCGGACUUUCUUUUGUAGGUGCCCGUUCCCGGCGACCAGGUGACGAGGGGAUUGGCCACAACACCUUUUCUAAGAAGUCAUUGAAAAAGGAAAUGUAUUGCUGCUAAUCAUAUCUUGUUCUAUCCAUAUCUUGACUUUAUG
rnacentral:lncRNA from 1 species